GGGAAAAAAAACAAGCAUGGAGGAGCAGGACAGAGUGAAACUCCCCACAACACUGUGUUAGAACACAGAACAA